UGAAACUCAACUCCAAAAAGUAUUCACUUUGGUACAAGUAGUAGUGUGCAUAUAGCCAAAGAACUCACCAUCAGAAGCUCCAGCCGACAGCUAAAUAGUGCUCCUCAAGGCAAGACGUCGCCACAAAUGUGUGAUUUAAUAGUGCUCCUCUAGAAUCAAUUUAACAGUCGACUUGGGAGACAAUCACAUACAAGGUUGUCAGAAUCGCGAUUCUGUUAUACGAUUCUACGACUUUAUGAUCCAAACUAACCCCUCUGAUUCUACGAUUUUAGUUCAUAGAAUAUACGUUUUUACGAUCCUGAUAGUGAAGAUUCUACGAUUUGCGAUCCUACCAUCAGAGCUCCGAUCUGAUUCAAAAUCACGAUUCUGACAACCUUGAUCACAUAUUUGUGACUGUUAAAUUGAUUCUAGAGCUUUUGUAUCUAAGCCAUUGCAGGAGGACGAUUAUGUUGCCUCUGUAGCCUGCCUAUUGACAUGAUGCGGUAUGGGAUGGUGGGCUUGGACGAUGGUGACUAGGCCGCGCCCAGCGGGUGCACAUGCAGGGAC
rnacentral:lncRNA from 1 species